GACGAACGCUGGCGGCGUGCUUAAUACAUGCAAGUCGAGCGUGAAAGUCCCUUCGGAGAUGAGUAAAGCGGCGCACGGGUGAGUAACACGUAGAUUAUCUGCCCCUGAGACUGAGAUAACCGCGGGAAACUGUGGCUAAUACCGGAUGACGCAUUAUUAUUGGAUUAAUGAUGUUAAAGUGGCGCAAGUCACACUUGGGGAUGAGUCUGCGACCUAUCAGCUAGUUGGUUGGGUAAUGGCCUACCAAGGCGAAGACGGGUAGCUGGUCUGAGAGGAUGAUCAGCCACACUGGGACUGAGACACGGCCCAGACUCCUACGGGAGGCAGCAGUAGGGAAUAUUGCGCAAUGGAGGAAACUCUGACGCAGCGACGCCGCGUGAGUGAUGACGGCCUUUCUGGUUGUAAAGCUCUGUAAGGAGGGAAGAACCGCAAGUGGUAACGCACUUGUCUGACGGUACCUCCGAAGUAAGGACCGGCUAAAUACG
rnacentral:rRNA from 1 species